CUAAGAUUCCGAGUUUAUCUUAAUUUCUUUGUCCUACUGUCAUGGGGAUUUUGGUUAGGUUUUUGAGCCUGUCUUUUCUUCCUGUAGUUUCCACAAUGAAAUGCAACCAGUAUCUUGUUACCACGGAGGGAUCCAAGGAGGAAAGAUAAUUCCCUCCAUCAGCUGCUUGCCCCUGCCCUACUUUAGGGGUGGGGAUGUAAGCAGCAAGUUUUAGGGAGCAUUGGAAUAAGAUUAUGUCCUCAGGUGAGAUUCAUCAGGCUUUACACUGAUGCAGCUACUGUCAGAAUUUUUACCUUUACCUCUGUCCAGUGAGGUCAUGAAGUUAUUUCCAGAUGUCCCAGAACAUCCCGUCAAACUUGAGUUGCCUGUGCAGGGAUUCUGAUGGCUCUUGGUUUCAGGAAACUUUGAUGCUAUAGAUUAAAUACUUUAUCUGUUAUGUAAUUUGCUGUCUUGUUGCAGGUUGCACUUAAUUGUAAUCAGGUAAUUCACUUCUGUCUCAGAUGAGAAGUAAGAAAACUUGGGUGUAAGUGGAGGAGUGUUUGUGUAGAUAUAGUUACUUUUUGCUCAUUUACCUCAUUGGUGGUCCAUUACUUUCAAGUGUACCAGAGAACUCUUUGUCCAGUUGCAGGCUCUAGGGCUAAGCAAAAGAGUUGCAGCUGGAUUUUAAGUCUUGCCUAGUUCCUUUGAAAUAUUGACCAUUGUAAGCUAAAGAAAUCCCAUUUGAAAAAAUCUGUUUAUAUAUCUACUUUAACUUAGUGCUCUGUACUCAACAUGAUUUAGAACAGUGAUAUUCCACACAUGCAUUCUUUCCCAUUGUGUCCAGGUACUGAGAAACUCAACCCAUCUGGCCAUUGUCAGACUUCAUAGAAAGCAGGAGAACAAUUCCAAAUGUGAUUUUUAAUUCCCAAAUUGAUGUUUUUUAAAAAAUAAGAGCCUACUUCCCAAACUUUUGAUUAAACUGAAAUGCCUGGUUUUGAACCAUUUAUGUAAAGAAUCAGUCCUGAGAGUUGCCUGUGUCAGAUUUUAAAAAUUUUGAAUUGAUAGUGAAGUGGAGGAACAGAAUUGCUAAAUGUUUUAUAUGUUGAAUAUUUAACUUCAAAAUUUUUAAUUUCACUUUUAAAGUAGAAUUAGGACAAUUAAGACAUUCUCAGUCAUUACCAUUAAUGUACCAUUAAUCAUUGUAUCAUUAAAACCUGUGAUGGAUCUAUGUGAUUUUAUAAAGAAAUCAAUAAAGAAAAAUAAAGUAGUUGUAAAACUGGGACUGAGUGAAAUCCAGGUGCUCCAAGUUAGUGGCAAAUGUCUUUAGGGCCAGGAGUUCGGCCCAAUGUGACAGAAAUUCUGCCUUUUCAUUACAUCAUGAUGGCUGAAGGAAAAAUAUCAGUGCCUUUUGUAACAAUACUUGAAAGUGUUCCUUUACAGAAAUCUGGAGUACUGAUUGAAAUAAGGUAUUUGAAUUUCAUGGUUUGCAAGUUUCACAGGGGUUUAAUUCUACUAAUUCUAAAACUGUGGAGAGUUUUCCUUCUUCAUGUUUUUGAAUUAAGUUGAAAUUAAGGUGCUUAUUUGUCAGGCUGCUUUUCUUACAGAAUACUUUAAAAUAUGGUUGUUUCUUCCUCUCAGUCUUGUGAACUUACUUCUGAAACUAUUGUUACCUCUUUUGUGCACUUCGGAAUAAACUUGGCAGGGAGACUUCAAACAGCUUGCUGAAAUUGUGGUUUGAGUGAGAUGGAAGGCAAAACAUGCACUGAUCUAGAAGGGCAAAGGUGAUACUUCUUGGUAUUUGAGGGGUGGAGGGUUGGUCUUUGUUUUGGACUUUUUUUCAUCUGCUCUACAGAUCAGCAGAGAUUCUUUUCAUGGCAGAAAGUUGUGUGUAGAGACAGCGAGGAAGGAUCAGGUUCUCUCACUGUGAAACCAUGUAUCUUCAUUUAGGUUCUGAUGCUGGGAUAUUUAAAAAUCUCAGCAGUGUAAUACUAGUGAAGAAAGUCACAUUUGAGCACUUAACACCUUAAUAAAUGUCUCUAUGUGGUUUAAGAGGAAAGACAGGAAUUUUUUUUCUUUUUCUUUGAGAAUUUCAGUGUUGCUUUGUGGACAUUGGGAUAUUUUUGUCUGCUCUUUGAGAUACUAAACCUUUGUUUUUCCAUUACAUGUGAUGCAAAGCCUUUUAAAAGAUGUGUCUGAACAUUUAAAAAAUGUGC